GACAGAGGGUGCAAACGUUGCUCGGAAUCACUGGGCGUAAAGGGUGCGUAGGCGGGUCUUUAAGUCAGGGGUGAAAUCCUGGAGCUCAACUCCAGAACUGCCUUUGAUACUGAGGAUCUUGAGUUCGGGAGAGGUGAGUGGAACUGCGAGUGUAGAGGUGAAAUUCGUAGAUAUUCGCAAGAACACCAGUGGCGAAGGCGGCUCACUGGCCCGGUACUGACGCUGAGGUGCGAAAGCGUGGGGAGCAAACAGG
rnacentral:rRNA from 1 species